rnacentral:lncRNA from 10 species
UCAGGCUGCGGUUGCCACAGCAACAGUUUGGCGCGAAGGCUGGGGGCUGACGUCAGGGAGUGGCCGUGAGGGACCCCAAAGCCAGGUCUGGAAAAGGGGGGUGGGUUGGGUGGUGGGGGUGCAGCCCCCAAAGAAAUGGGGGUCGAAAUGGAGGAAACCCCACUGAGAUGCUCAAAUGUAAAACCGCUGAAGAAUAAAGGGACAAAUGUACACAUCUGUCUAAAUGAAAAAAAUGAAAAUCCUGGCCGCAAAAACACAUACAUUAACGUCUAAAGACCUGCAGGGAAGACAAGACUUUUCCGCCUGGGACACAUGAAAGACAUCGAGCUAAUUUCCUUAAUAAAUGAAGAGCUCUUGGAAACCAACGAGAUAAAGACCAAACCAAGACAGAAAAAUGGGCAAAAGGGAUAAAACUGGCAAUUCGCAAGAAAAUCCAAACGGCUGGCCGACCUGCGAAGGAAACAUCACGACCUGUUUGCAUAAAGAAAUGCAAACCUGAAACACCGGGCACGUGCGGUUUAGGGGAGCGGGCAGUCUCACACACUACUGAGUUGUUUCCCAGCAGCCGUCAAUACAGACCUUCCACUGCGCUCCUUUUAUGUCAGGAGAGUCCAAAUCCAGUACCUGUUUGCCACAAUGAGCCUGGGACCUCAACAUGCAUGGAGUGCUUCCGGACCUCAUUACCCAAGAGCAG